rnacentral:rRNA from 1 species
UGGGGAAUAUUGGACAAUGGGCGAAAGCCUGAUCCAGCCAUGCCGCGUGUGUGAAGAAGGUCUUCGGAUUGUAAAGCACUUUAAGUUGGGAGGAAGGGCAGUAAGCGAAUACCUUGCUGUUUUGACGUUACCGACAGAAUAAGCACCGGCUAACUCUGUGCCAGCAGCCGCGGUAAUACAGAGGGUGCAAGCGUUAAUCGGAAUUACUGGGCGUAAAGCGCGCGUAGGUGGUUCGGUAAGUUGAAUGUGAAAGCCCCGGGCUCAACCUGGGAACUGCAUCCAAAACUGGCGAGCUAGAGUAGGGCAGAGGGUGGUGGAAUUUCCUGUGUAGCGGUGAAAUGCGUAGAUAUAGGAAGGAACACCAGUGGCGAAGGCGACCACCUGGGCUCAUACUGACACUGAGGUGCGAAAGCGUGGGGAGCAAACAGG